rnacentral:rRNA from 1 species
UAGUCCACGCCGUAAACGAUGAAUACUAGGUGUCGGGGGUCGAACCUCGGUGCCGCAGUUAACGCAAUAAGCAUUCCACCUGGGGAGUACGAUCGCAAGAUUGAAACUCAAAGGAAUUGACGGGGCCCGCACAAGCGGUGGAGCAUGUGGUUUAAUUCGAAGCAACGCGAAGAACCUUACCAAUUCUUGACAUCCUUCUGACCGGUCCUUAAUCGGACCUUUCCUUCGGGACAGAAGUGACAGGUGGUGCAUGGUUGUCGUCAGCUCGUGUCGUGAGAUGUUGGGUUAAGUCCCGCAACGAGCGCAACCCUUAUCUUUAGUAGCCAGCAUUUCGGAUGGGAACUCUAGAGAGACUGCCGGGGACAACUCGGAGGAAGGUGGGGAUGACGUCAAAUCAUCAUGCCCCUUAUGAAUUGGGGCUACACACGUGCUACAAUGGCGGGAUACAAAGGGGAAGCGAAAGGGUGACCUGAAGCAAACCUCAUAAAGUCCGUCCAGUUCGGGAUUGUAGUCUGCAACUCGACUA